UACGAAGGGGGCUAGCGUUGUUCGGAAUCACUGGGCGUAAAGCGCACGUAGGCGGAUUGUCAAGUCGGGGGUGAAAUCCUGAGGCUCAACCUCAGAACUGCCUCCGAUACUGGCAAUCUCGAGUUCGGAAGAGGUUGGUGGAACAGCUAGUGUAGAGGUGAAAUUCGUAGAUAUUAGCUAGAACACCAGUGGCGAAGGCGGCCAACUGGUCCGACACUGACGCUGAGGUGCGAAAGCGUGGGGAGCAAACAGG
rnacentral:rRNA from 1 species